GCCCGCGCCUUUCCCUCCACACCUUCCGGCAAGCUGAGGGAACGGGCUCUGGCCUUCGCCAGCCCAGAAAGGGGCUCCCACAGUGCAGCGGUGGGCUGAAGGGCUCCUCAAGUGCCGCCAAAGUGGGAGCCCAGGCAGAGGAGGCGCAGAGAGCGAGCGAGGGCUGUGAGGACUGCCAGCACGCUGUCACCUCUCAAUAGAGGCUGGAAAUAUAAUUAGAAGACAAGCACCACAGAUGCUGCAGUUUACAAUAUCCAGAAGAAACUGCCGAAAUGGGUUAAACUUUUACACCACUUCCUAAUACCGUGGUUGCUGAAAGUCAUUUCCUGGGGGAUGGAAGAACAGGACUCUAGGACAGAAAAUAUAAAUAGACGUCAUUCUUAGCAAAGAAGGCAGCAGCAGUAAAAUCAACAGCUAUGAUUGUGAUGGAAGAAGAAAGACAUAACCGUUACCCAGAAGAGGGUGGAUAGUAGUGUUUAGUUUUAAUAUUAGGAGCACUAUUUACAUAGCAGCACAUGUGCAUGCCUGCCUGUCCAGAUAGAGCUAUGGGCUUGGGGUGGGGAAAGAGAGAGUCAUUGCUUAUAGAGUUUCUACUAGGCAGUAGCCACUAUGAUGGAAACUACACAUAUCAUCUUCAUUAAUCCCCCGUUUUCCCAAACAGCAACAAAUUAAAAAAAAAAUCAAUGAUGUAUUGUUUUUCCUGUUUGGGGGGAUUAGGAAACUAAAGGACCAAGGGGUAGGAGCCAGGAUUUAAAUUUAGAUCUUUAUGAUGCCCUAGAGGGUAUUCCUCAACCACUUAAGUACAAACACAAAGCAAAGUCAUCAGAAAAAAACAUUUCUGUUAUGUAAAAUCAAACGUAACACCAAAAGGGAGCAGCAAUAUGUUCUUUAGCAAAUUGUGACUCAGAAAAGAAGAAGCUUCUGUCAGCCAAGGGAGAUUCAGCAACUGGGUGCUUAGCUCUGCCAUGCCACAAGAGCACCUCUUCGCUUCUCUAAAAGUACUUAAAAAAAAAAAACUAGCUGUUUAUGCAUUUUUAUUCUCACUAUGUUGUGAGCCCCUGCAGGACAGAAAUUGGGCAUUACUCAUCCAUAUAUGCCCAGAACCCAAUAAAAAGCCUAACCCUGCAUAGAGCUACUGCGUGGCUGGACUCUAGGAGUCCCCACUUACACUGGUGUUAAUGUGAGUGAUGGAGGCAGGGCUGUGCUCCAUAGGAGGCCCACAGAGAGCAAGUGUUCCCUAAAUGAUGACAGAGGGAUGGGCUUGUUUCAGCCAGCCAGCUUCUAAGAAGUUUCCAGUGAGAACAAACUGCUCCUUCCCCUACAUUUUCAGGGCGUUCUAUUUAGUAUGCACCUUUCCCCCUUCCUCCACCCCACCACAUUCUCAUCACAGUUCUGUGUGUCAGGAUGAUGUUUAUCCCUACGGCUAUUUAUGGGCAUGACUGGAUUUUAUCUUAGCUUCCUUGAAGUGGCUCAGUCAAGUGAAAUGAGUCUGUAUUUUAAACAAAAUAAAACAAGAUUUUUUAAUCU